rnacentral:rRNA from 1 species
GAUGAACGCUGGCGGCGUGCUUAACACAUGCAAGUCGAACGGAAAGGCCGAAGCUUGCUUCGGUACACGAGUGGCGCACGGGGGAGUAACACGUGGGUGAUCUGCACUGUACAUCGGGAUAUGCUUGGGGGAAACGGUCUAAUACCGGAUAUGACGAUCUCAUGGGUGGGGUUGUGGAAAGCUUUUGCGGUGUGGGAUGAGCUCGCGGCGGAUCAGCUUGUCGGUGGCGAGUUGGCAUAGCAAGGCGUCGACGGGUAGCCGGCCUGUGAGCGUGUACGGCCACACUGGAACCGAGAGACGGCCCAGACUCCGACGUGUUGCAGCAUGGGGGAAUAUUUCACAAUGGGCGCAAGCCUGAUGCAUGGACGUCGUGUGGGCGUUGACGGCCUUCAGGUUGGAAACUCCUUUCUCUAUCGACGAAGCCUUUUGGUGACGGUAGGUAGAGAAGAAGCACCGGCUAACUACGUG